AAUAUUGGUCAAUGGAGGCAACUCUGCACCAGCCAAGCCGCGUGAAGGAUGACUGCCCUACGGGUUGUAAACUUCUUUUUUCAGGGAAUAAAGUGAGCCACGUGCGGCCUCUUGCAUGUCCCUUACGAAUAAGGAUCCGCUAACUCCGUGCCAGCAGCCGCGGUAAUACGGAGGAUCCGAGCGUUAUCCGGAUUUAUUGGGUUUAAAGGGUGCGCAGGCGGAAUAUUAAGUCGGCGGUGAAAGUUUGCAGCUUAACUGUAAAAUUGCCGUUGAAACUGGUUUUCUUGAGUGUAUAUGAAGUAGGCGGAAUUUGUAGUGUAGCGGUGAAAUGCAUAGAUAUUACAAGGAACUCCGAUUGCGAAGGCAGCUUACUAAAAUACAACUGACGCUCAGGCACGAAGGCGUGGGUAUCAAACA
rnacentral:rRNA from 1 species